UACGUAGGGUGCAAGCGUUGUCCGGAUUUAUUGGGCGUAAAGAGCUCGUAGGCGGUUGGGCAAGUCACGUGUGAAAUCUCCACGCUCAACGUGGAGGCGCCACGUGAGACUGCCCUGACUCGAGUCCGGUAGGGGAGCGUGGAAUUCCCGGUGUAGUGGUGAAAUGCGUAGAUAUCGGGAGGAACACCAGUGGCGAAGGCGACUACCUGGCCUGUUUCUUGACGCUGAGGCGCGAAAGCUAGGGGAGCAAACGGG
rnacentral:rRNA from 1 species